AUUUCAUCUGCUCGAUCUCACAUUGCUUGGGCUUCACACAAAUGUAGUUUGGUCCCAGCUUCCUUAUCCCAGUAGCACUUAGGUGAGUUUGUGUGUAUGAAAGAUGUCAAAGCAUUGCUGUUUUAUAUUAAUAGUAAUGAGGUACCUUUGUCACCAUGCAGUUGAUAUGAUAAAGCCGGGCGCCACUGUGAUUCUGCACAAAGCAAAGAUUGACAUGUUUAAGGGAUCAAUGAGGCUAGCAGUUGACAAAUGGGGACGUGUUGAAGUGACCAAGGAUGCUAACUUUGUAGUUAAAGAGCAGAACAAUCUUUCGCUAGUUGAGUACGAAUUGGUUAAUGUGCUGGAAGAGUGAUAGGUAAAUAUAUUACCUUAAGAAGUGAAUAUAUUAUGAGGUUACAAAAGGUUUGAUUAUUGUUGGGUGGUCCUUAAUCAGAUGCAACUUUUACGUUUGCUACACAAGUCUUGCCAGAUAUGUUUUCGGUUUUGAAGCAGUGAACCGUUUCAACUUUUAGCUACUUGGAAAGGUUGUUGAGAGCAUUAUAAAUUGUCUCAAUAUUUCUUCUGAUCCCGCAACUUUUAUUCAGGGUGCAUUUCCAGAGAUCCUGGAGAAAACAAAAGAGGAUUUCUUCUCAAACACUAUCAUCAUACUUAGAGAAUGUGCAGACAUAAUUCAUGAGAGAAUCAAGGAUAUCCCCUGCAUUACUUACCCGCAAAAGCCAGAAGGAUCCAUGUUUGUAAUGGUAAAGGGAGAAAGAAAACAUGAUAUAUUUUGCA